UACGUAGGGGGCUAGCGUUGUCCGGAAUCAUUGGGCGUAAAGCGCGCGUAGGCGGCCCGGUAAGUCCGCUGUAAAAGUCAAAGGCUCAACCUUUGAAUGUCAGUGGAUACUGCCGGGCUAGAGUCCGGUAGGGGAGCGUGGAAUUCCUGGUGUAGCGGUGAAAUGCGCAGAUAUCAGGAGGAACACCAGCGGCGAAGGCGGCGCUCUGGGCCGGUACUGACGCUGAGGAGCGAAAGCGUGGGGAGCGAACAGG
rnacentral:rRNA from 1 species